ACGACCAUCGCCAAACGGUAAGGCACAGGACUUUGACUCCUGCAUUUGGUGGUUCGAAUCCACCUGGUCGCG
rnacentral:tRNA from 1 species